rnacentral:rRNA from 1 species
CGAACGCUGGCGGCGUGCUUAACACAUGCAAGUCGAACGGAAAGGCCCUGCUUUUGUGGGGUGCUCGAGUGGCGAACGGGUGAGUAACACGUGAGUAACCUGCCCUUGACUUUGGGAUAACUUCAGGAAACUGGGGCUAAUACCGGAUAGGAGCUCCUGCUGCAUGGUGGGGGUUGGAAAGUUUCGGCGGUUGGGGAUGGACUCGCGGCUUAUCAGCUUGUUGGUGGGGUAGUGGCUUACCAAGGCUUUGACGGGUAGCCGGCCUGAGAGGGUGACCGGCCACAUUGGGACUGAGAUACGGCCCAGACUCCUACGGGAGGCAGCAGUGGGGAAUAUUGCACAAUGGGCGGAAGCCUGAUGCAGCAACGCCGCGUGCGGGAUGACGACCUUCGGGUUGUAAACCGCUUUCGCCUGUGACGAAGCGUGAGUGACGGUAAUGGGUAAAGAAGCACCGGCUAACUACGUG